CAAGCAUAACUUAGGUCCGACACUGUUUGGUAAGAAUAUAGAGGCCGGCCGGAGACUUCUUGAUGGUUGAAAAUCUACCCAAAUCCGUGGUUCUCCCACUUUCCAGCCCUGUCCACAGUUCCUGGCCCUGAUAAAUGAGAACGUCAGAUGUCAAUAUUCACGAAGAAAAAAAGGGACUGCUGGAUGGUAGGUGGCUGGGGAUUGAGAUUGCUCCUGCGCGCCAGGGAAUGGCUUCCUAAACCCAUACUUCCCUAAAUUUACUCUUCCACGUUCUCAACCCCCCAUCUACCUCACCGGCCCACAUGACUUCCCUUCGAUAAGUACCAUCUUUAUCUGUUAGUCAAUGCCAGCUGCUGCUCUGAUACACAUGACGGUCAAUUAAAUUUGAUAUGCAGCGGCUGGAAAAUCUCUUCUUCAAGGUUGCAGCUGCUAGCUAGCUGCUUGUGUUUUAUGUAUUUGUACGGGUUAUUGAUGAUGAUGAUGAUGAUCAUUCGGUGAGUGGUUUCCAUGCCAACCUUGUCAAGUGAACAGUGUCUUCCAGGUUACCUUUAUCUCGUUGUCUGUUCGACCUUGUGCUCAUGAUAUUGUUCAUAUUUUCUAAAAGGAUCACAUAAAAACCGUAAGUAAGAGAAAAAGACAUCAACUUAGUAAUUAACAGCUAGGUUUAACAGAUUAGUUUAUGUGGUUUUGCUAGCUUCUACUCGAUCUAGACAGCAUCAUGCAGAGAUCGAUGGAAAUCACAAAAAUUAUGGCUUGUUUGCAUUUCUAUUAAUUUUGUUUUCCUUGUCUUCUACUGCAUCUUGAUCAAUUUCAUCACUCUUAAUGAGUUAGCUCCCAACAAACAUGUUUAGUUUCAGUUUCCUUUGCUAGUACUUGUCAUCAUGUUUUCUUACCUCUCGUUUAACACAUUUGGUGGCGUUUGAAACCUCCUUUGUAAAACAGGAAAGAAAAAUUUUCAUUCAUGAUCAUCAGCUAGCAAGCUAGCCCUCAAAGGAAAGAGCAAAACAUGUAUAUAUGUAGCCUUCAGGACACUGGUUUUAAGAUCCCAAAAGGCAUUUCUAUGUUUUAUUUUGAGAAGUACUAUAAAUACAAAGAGAUUAAGUAAACUAAAUUCACAAACUGACGUGACUUCAUGUAA